rnacentral:lncRNA from 1 species
AUUCAAACAGCAAGUCUGAGAAACUGAAAUACAACUUUUCAGUUGCUUAAUUUUCACUAAGCUUUGAGGUCCUUUUAUUUGUGACCUUAUUUUGUAGGACAGUAGAUUCUGUACAUACUCUACUAUAGUACAGUAAAUACUCCAUCAUACAGGUAUUCAGCUUCAGUUUCUGUGCCACCUUGUACAGAGUGUUUCAUGUAGGUAGUGACUCAGUAUAGUACACUUUCAAACUUGAAGAAAACUUUUGCAUAGCAAUUGGAAUACUUAGCAGUGAGUACAAAUCUUGGUUCAGAAGGUACUUAUGUAUUUUAGCAAGCAGACUUUUAUAUCUCAUUUUAUGUCAGACAGGCAAGGUGUUAUUCCAAAGUGUGUGACUUUGCAUUCUUUCCUAUGACUUUUUAGCCUAUUUAGAGUCCUCAAAGCUAUCUGUUUUUGAUGCAUUGAGUUUCUACACUUCCUGUAUUGAUUUUUGGACAGUACUUUAAAACUUUUACUAAGUGCUGAAUUUCUAGUUGUCAGGUCUAGAAGGCUGCUUUUCUUUGUGAUCAUUAUAAUUUCCUUUGUACUUUGCUCUGUUUGCCUGUCAGAUCACAGUUGCAUACCGAAGAGGAAAAGAGAUGUGAUGAGUUUGCUGUGGUGAAGAAUGAGAACAAAGAAGAGAAGACAACACAUCUUGCUCAACUCAGUGACCAUGUGUUCUCUGAUUUAACCUCAAAAAACUGAGAUCAUUCCACAUGAGUAGCCAUAGCUGAAGAUGAUAAAGAAUUGCACAGCUGGCAUCACAGGCAGUUUUUCACUCUGGGUCAUUCAGCCUUGUUAUGGAAGAGGAGAUUAAACAUUUUGAACAAGAGAAUUAGAAUUCGGCUCUGAAUGUGCAGUGUUGCACAUGAUAAAUGGUCUGUAAGCCAAGCAUGCCACUUGUGUUGUAGAAUUCUUUGAUAGAAACGGUAGGCUAAAUACUUAAUUUAUUCAUAAAUUCACCCUUAAUUCAACAGUAUUCUGGAUGUUCAAGGUCUGUUACAUCCACAUAGUGUUUCACUGAAGCCAGAAGCUUCUGUAUGGCUACAACACCCUAUCUGUGAGUAAUAAAUGGAAGUGCUGGAAGUUUGAAUGGUUUUGG